AUAAUAAUUUGUCUUAUAAUUGAAGUCUGGAAUGAAUGGUUUAAUGAGAAGAGUUCUUUCCCCUUCUUAAAAAUUGAAUUUCAUAGUUAAGUAAAAAAGCUUAAAUAAAUUUUUAAGACGAUAAGACCCUAUAAAGCUUUACUUAUACUUGGUAAAAUAUAAGUAUAUUUAAAUCACUUAAGUUAGGCUGGGGCGGCAAUUUAAUUAAACAUUUUCAGUUAAAACAUAUUGAAUGAAUUUAAAUAAUGAGGAUUUCCUAAUUCUAAAUCAAGUUACUUUAGGGAUAACAGCACAAUUAAUUCUAAGAGUUCUUAUCGAAGAAAAAGAUUGU
rnacentral:rRNA from 1 species